GUUAAUGUAGCUUAAUAAACCAAAGCAAGGCACUGAAAAUGCCUAGAUGAGCCAUAAGGCUCCAUAAACA
rnacentral:tRNA from 4 species